UUUUCAAUAUGGUUAACAUGAUAAUCCUGGCGUCUUAUUAAUUGGAUCCGUCAAACGUUAAAUCUUUUUCUUCAUCUUUCGCGUUGUUUUCUGCGUUAUUUUCUUUCUUUCUUUCUUUCUUCUUUCUUUUAUUUUUUUUUUUCUUUUAUUUUUUGUUUCACGCUUAAAUUGACAAGAAGACGCAUUAUGAUUGUUACGAAAACAGGAAAAGAUGAAGAUAAGGAAAAGGAGUAAAAUAUAAAUGGAGAGGAGCCGGUGUGAAUUUGUUAAGAAAGAAGAAGCAAAAGAUUCCGGCUUAACGUUGAGUAAGAUAAGAUAAAUUAACGAGAGUUAGAAGAGAAGAUGUUCUUUUACAUAAACUCUAUUACUCAUUUUCGAGUUUUGACAUGAGGAUGAAGGGGGAGGAGGAGAAGGAGAAGAAGGAGGAGAAGGAAGGCUGGGUUGGAAGGGUUAUACAAUGUAAAAGGAAAUGAAAUAUAAGAGUAUUGGAUUUGGUAUAGUGUGAUCAUCAGGGUCAUUUAAGGGGUGUUGUAUAAUCGUCCAAUUUAACCCCAUUUUUGGAAGAGACCCAUCCGUUGACACUGACAGUUAGAACCCCAUAAACUGCAACGGCAACUCGAGCUAUAGCAACAAUCCUUCGGUCGGUGAUCGCAGUUACCACCGCGUCUUAUGCAGGCACGUCUAAACAAAUGAAUCAACGAGGAACGCCUACUCGAGAUUAGGGGCUUCAUUAGAUCCCUUAUACUUAAUAAUCGAUACAUUCGGAGAAGUGAGGAGUGGAAGUGACCAGGAAGUGAUGGGGAUGAUCAGAUUUCAAUAGGAAAAUUAAUAUUGGAAAAGAGAAAGAGGAAAGGAAUGACCAUUUGUUUUCUUAUCGAUUAGAAAACUAUUUAAUUCAGGGAACAUGAUUGAGAAGAAUGACGUUUCUUAAAUUAACAAAUUAAUGUGUCAAUCAAUUAAGGAUAUUGAUCAAGGAUAAAUGGAUUAGAAAGAAAGUGAGAAAUAGCAAGAUACUUACUUUUGUUGAGCCGCUCGCAUUAAAUUCUCCAAGGCAUUGUCUGUAUAGUCUGAGUCUACAACUUGUAAUGAGUCUUCUUCCGGUACUAAAGCAAGCGAGUCUAAAAUUAAAAUUAAAUCUUGUGAGAUUAGGAUAGCUUUGUUAUAUAUAUAUA